CUCUUUUAAAAAGCUGAAACUGUUGAUCACUGACAUUGAUGAAUGCUAUUUAAACAACUGUCUAAGAUGGAAGUAGAAAGCAAGGGCUGGAAGGCAUAUGCGGUAAUGAGGAACAAGGGUUGAAAAAGGAAAAGAUGUGGUACAGUCAUCUAAAACAUGGAGGGGGUGCAUCACAGACAGCUUCCAGUAUGACCUCAGAGUGAAGAAAGA